GUUGGGUAGGGGAGCGUUCUGUAAGCCUGUGAAGGUGUGUCGUGAGGCAUGCUGGAGGUAUCAGAAGUGCGAAUGCUGACAUAAGUAACGAUAAAGCGGGUGAAAAGCCCGCUCGCCGGAAGACCAAGGGUUCCUGUCCAACGUUAAUCGGGGCAGGGUGAGUCGACCCCUAAGGCGAGGCCGAAAGGCGUAGUCGAUGGGAAACGGGUUAAUAUUCCCGUACUUGGUGUUACUGCGAAGGGGGGACGGAGAAGGCUAUGUUGGCCGGGCGACGGUUGUCCCGGUUUAAGCGUGUAGGUGUGUGUUCCAGGUAAAUCCGGUUCACUUUAACACUGAGGCGUGACGACGAGGCACUACGGUGCUGAAGCAACAAAUGCCCUGCUUCCAGGAAAAGCCUCUAAGCAUCAGGUAACAUCAAAUCGUACCCCAAACCGACACAGGUGGUCAGGUAGAGAAUACCAAGGCGCUUGAGAGAACUCGGGUGAAGGAACUAGGCAAAAUGGUGCCGUAACUUCGGGAGAAGGCACGCUGACACGUAGGUGAAGUGAUUUACUCAUGGAGCUGAAGUCAGUCGAAGAUACCAGCUGGCUGCAACUGUUUAUUAAAAACACAGCACUGUGCAAACACGAAAGUGGACGUAUACGGUGUGACGCCUGCCCGGUGCCGGAAGGUUAAUUGAUGGGGUCAGCGCAAGCGAAGCUCCUGAUCGAAGCCCCGGUAAACGGCGGCCGUAACUAUAACGGUCCUAAGGUAGCGAAAUUCCUUGUCGGGUAAGUUCCGACCUGCACGAAUGGCGUAAUGAUGGCCAGGCUGUCUCCACCCGAGACUCAGUGAAAUUGAACUCGCUGUGAAGAUGCAGUGUACCCGCGGCAAGACGGAAAGACCCCGUGAACCUUUACUAUAGCUUGACACUGAACAUUGAGCCUUGAUGUGUAGGAUAGGUGGGAGGCUUUGAAGCGUGGACGCCAGUCUGCGUGGAGCCGACCUUGAAAUACCACCCUUUAAUGUUUGAUGUUCUAACGUGGACCCGUGAUCCGGGUUGCGGACAGUGUCUGGUGGGUAGUUUGACUGGGGCGGUCUCCUCCUAAAGAGUAACGGAGGAGCACGAAGGUUGGCUAAUCCUGGUCGGACAUCAGGAGGUUAGUGCAAUGGCAUAAGCCAGCUUGACUGCGAGCGUGACGGCGCGAGCAGGUGCGAAAGCAGGUCAUAGUGAUCCGGUGGUUCUGAAUGGAAGGGCCAUCGCUCAACGGAUAAAAGGUACUCCGGGGAUAACAGGCUGAUACCGCCCAAGAGUUCAUAUCGACGGCGGUGUUUGGCACCUCGAUGUCGGCUCAUCACAUCCUGGGGCUGAAGUAGGUCCCAAGGGUAUGGCUGUUCGCCAUUUAAAGUGGUACGCGAGCUGGGUUUAGAACGUCGUGAGACAGUUCGGUCCCUAUCUGCCGUGGGCGCUGGAGAACUGAGGGGGGCUGCUCCUAGUACGAGAGGACCGGAGUGGACGCAUCACUGGUGUUCGGGUUGUCAUGCCAAUGGCACUGCCCGGUAGCUAAAUGCGGAAGAGAUAAGUGCUGAAAGCAUCUAAGCACGAAACUUGCCCCGAGAUGAGUUCU
rnacentral:rRNA from 1 species